GAUGAACGCUGGCGGCGUGCCUAAUACAUGCAAGUCGAGCGAACAGACGAGUAGCUUGCUCCUCUGACGUUAGCGGCGGACGGGUGAGUAACACGUGGAUAACCUACCUAUAAGACUGGGAUAACUUCGGGAAACCGGAGCUAAUACCGGAUAAUAUAUUGAACCGCAUGGUUCAUUAGUGAAAGACGGUUUUGCUGUCACUUAUAGAUGGAUCCGCGCCGCAUUAGCUAGUUGGUAAGGUAACGGCUUACCAAGGCAACGAUGCGUAGCCGACCUGAGAGAGAGAGUGGCCACACUGGAACUGAGACACGGUCCAGACUCCUACGGGAGGCAGCAGUAGGGAAUCUUCCGCAAUGGGCGAAAGCCUGACGGAGCAACGCAGCGUGAGUGAUGAAGGUCUUCGGAUCGUAAAACUAUGUUAUUAGGGAAGAAAAAAUGUGUAAGUAACUAUGCACGUCUUGACGGUAACUAAUCAGAAAGCCACGGCUAAAUAAGUG
rnacentral:rRNA from 1 species